GUGCUUGCUUCAGCAGCAUGUAAACUAAAAUUGGAACGAUACAGAGAAGAUUAGCAUGGCCCCUGACAAAGGAUGACAUGCAAAUUCGUGAAGCGUUCUAUAUUUUU